GAUGAAUGCUGGCGGCGUGCCUAACACAUGCAAGUCGAGCGGUAACAGGAGUAGUUUACUACUUGCUGACGAGCGGCGGACGGCUGAGUAACGCGUGGGAACGUGCCCCAAAGUGAGGAAUAACUGCCCGAAAGGGUAGCUAAUACCGCAUAUGAUCUUCGGAUUAAAGGAUUUAUCCGCUUUGGGAGCGGCCCGCGUCGGAUUAGGUAGUUGGUGAGGUAAUGGCUCACCAAGCCCACGAUCCGUAGCUGGUCUGAGAGGAUGAUCAGCCAGACUGGAACUGAGACACGGUCCAGACUCCUACGGGAGGCGGCAGUGAGGAAUCUUCCACAAUGGGCGAAAGCCUGAUGGAGCAACGCCGCGUGCGGGAUGAAGGCCUUCGGGUCGUAAACUGCUUUUAUAAGUGAAGAAUAUGACGGUAGCUUAUGAAUAAGCACCGGCUAACUACGUGCCAGCCGCCGCAGUAA
rnacentral:rRNA from 1 species